rnacentral:rRNA from 1 species
AUACAGAGGGUGCAAGCGUUAAUCGGAUUUACUGGGCGUAAAGCGCGCGUAGGUGGCUAAUUAAGUCAAAUGUGAAAUCCCCGAGCUUAACUUGGGAAUUGCAUUCGAUACUGGUUAGCUAGAGUAUGGGCGAGGAUGGUAGAAUUCCAGGUGUAGCGGUGAAAUGCGUAGAGAUCUGGAGGAAUACCGAUGGCGAAGGCAGCCAUCUGGCCUAAUACUGACACUGAGGUGCGAAAGCAUGGGGAGCAAACAGGAUUAGAUACCCUGGUAGUCCAUGCCGUAAACGAUGUCUACUAGCCGUUGGGGCCCUUGAGGCUUUAGUGGCGCAGCUAACGCGAUAAGUAGACCGCCUGGGGAGUACGGUCGCAAGACUAAAACUCAAAUGAAUUGACGGGG